UCCCCCAAUCACUGCGGCAGCUCCCAGUUUCAGCGUAGCCGCAAUUCCGAAAAGACUGAAGGUAGAAAACUCUGGAACGGAGGCUGGCGACUGGAGCAGGAUCCAGGGGCUUUAAAAUUUAACCUGAGUUCGAUCGAAUGCGUCUACCAAAGCAGAUAACCCGGCGUCCGCCGUCCACUUAACUGCGACCAGGGCUUCCAAUGCCUUUCUUUUGUUUUUUACGCGAGUUCCGAUCAAAUUUUUACGUAGACUGAGUUUUGCAGAAGCUCCUUUGUAAGCCGUUACAGAAAGGUUGUGGGCAUUUGAUUUCCUUUGAGUCCAACUGUUCUUAAAUAUUUCUGAGGUUUGCUCUCAAAAGCAAAGUUUUCUUUUUAAAAAUUCAUAUCUCAGUGAGGUGAUUUCUAAUGAAAACAAGUUAACAAAUAAAUAAAUCCUUUGGCUGAGUUGGAGUCCGGGUUGUGAACGGCCUCCAAGCCUGAGCCCCGAGGAGACCGAGCCCCCGGCGCGAACCUGAUUCCUGCCGUGUGUGUGUUUCUUAUAUUUGCAAUUACGUGGGUGACCGUGUGAAUUUCCUUGGACAAUAGUUGACCCCCACGGACCGGCUUUUCCCGCCAAUCCGCAGCAGCGGGGACAGGGUGCGCUGGCCCCGGCACGGCUGAGACAGAGGUGAGCGGCGGGACGCAGACCAACUCCACAACGUGCGAGUUCUCAGGCUCGAGAAAGGACAAGGCAUUCUACCCUCCAGAUUCCCAAUCAGUUUUGAACAUUGCUUAAAACAAAGGUGGGGGCAGGGAGGUCAUUGUUUGCUCUUUUGCAGGGUCACAAGUUGUUUUCUGGUUUUUUAGACUGGUCUUGUUUCUCUUGUCAGUUAACAGAGAAAUAAAACAAAACUGUUUGACCCGUGGAGUUUAUUCAGACAGAAUGCCAAGUUGCCUGACUGUUCCAGUUUGCAGUUUUCCCAACGCAUCGGCUUUGGCCUUGGGGACAACACCCCCGGGGCCCCGGGGAGCGGCACAUUUUCAAAGCCACCCCCCCAGGGACCCGAGGCCCAGCGCUCUGAGCUUCCUCUGAGCGCCCCAGCUGGUCCGGGCAGGCCGGGGGGAUUAGGGGGGGCGCAGAGGAAGAAGUGCACCCCAAGAGCUGGCGAUGGCUCCCUCAGUGCUUCAGGUGGGGAGGAGCUGUGUGUCAGAGGCACAAGAACAAAGGACACCCUCCCCCAGAGAGGAAAUGCAGAGAGGAUUAGCCUUUUUCAAAGGUACUGGAUAAUCCAUCUACAUCAUUUCUGUGUCCAUUUUACCAGAAAGG